rnacentral:rRNA from 1 species
UGCCAGCCGCCGCGGUAAUACCGGCGUCACAAGUGGAGAUCACGAUUACUGGGUCUAAAGUGUUCGUAGCUGGUUGUAUAAGUUUCUUGUGAAAGUUCUGUAGCUUAACUCAGAAUUGCAAGAAAUACUGUAUAACUUGAGACCGGAAGAGGUGUAAAGUAUGAAUUGGGUAGCGGUAAAAUGCUAUAAUCCUUUUCAGACUAACUAAGGCGAAGGCAUUACACUAAGACGGAUCUGACAGUGAGGAACGAAAGCUAGGGGAGCGAACCGGAUUAGAUA